AAUAGCAACUGGCCACCCAUUUGACCGUUUAAAUGUUUACGAUUGUCUGAAACAACUUCCAUACCUCACGAAAACAUAUUUAAACAGAUGGAGAACUAGAGCAGAACACAGUGUAACCGCGAUUUGCAAAAUGAAAGUCGAACAUCGAGUUGAAAUUCACCCACCACCAAGGGAUCUCCUAACAGAGUCUCCAAUCCUUUUGUCCGAUGACGACGAAGUGAAAGACGAAGAACUUUGUUUGAUCGAUCUUACAAAGUUGGAAGAUGAUUAUCGAGAGGAUUCGCCGGAAGAGACCAACGCGAUCCCUUUAACCCAAU